CUUAACGGUCUCCACCGAGGAGUUGGCAAAUAUGUAACCGGAAAUACUAGUUACUCCGGCGAGUGAAGCUUCGCGCGUCUUACGGAUAUCAUCGUAAUACUCGUAUGAAUCUCGUAUCCAUUCUCUGAAAAAGGAUGCAAUGUUGGUCCAGAGUACGAAGAGCUAAUUCUGAAUAUCCCAGCAGCGACAUGACUCACGAUAGAACGAGCUGAAACGAACAAAAAGAAA